UUAUGAAACAAAAUUUUAAUCCUAAAACGACAACUAAACUGAAACGGAGGGAGUACUAGUAAACAAUUUAGGAAUUAAGAUCAAAUUAAUAAUCUAGAAGUUUAUGGUGAUUUUUUAAAAAUAGUAAAAAAAAAUCUAUCUAUACUAAUAAAAGGGACAAUUUGAGGCUUUUCAGAGUGUCCACCUCAGCUUUUACAAAAUCUCUCAGAAGUUGCCACAUAAGCAGGCGUCGUGAAAGCUACUUCUCAAAGGCCACGUGUACCUCCAUUUAUAGCUACAAAGGGUUCUCACUUCUUAAAACGUCAAAAAACUUUGAUAUAAAAUCAAAACGUUAUCACUUCUCUAAACUUGGUUUACGAUUCGUCUCCUCCAUCUAUCUUUCAUCUGACUGUCCAAGUUCUUCAUCACUAAUUUUGAACAUUUUAGAAAUUCUGAUUUCUUUUGGUUCUCUAGGGUUUUCACUUUCAAUCUUAUUUAUUUUAUAUCAAAAAAUCAAUCGCUCCCUUUCCCGUAGAAAAGUGGUCGUUGUUGAUCUCUAGAUUUGAACAUUGAGAAUUAGAGAGAGAAUGGACAGAGCCGAGAAGAAAAAUAGUGAACCUAACCUACGGUCGUCUCGGGAUGCAUGCUCACUCUACAACGGACAAAAACCACAAAUCACGUCAGUGACAGUCAUUAUCAAGCCGGAUAUUUUUCUUUCUUGGUUCAAACUUAUCAAAAUACAGCAAUUCUAGGUAUGUUUCCUUUAUGGUAUUAUUUCAUCUUAACGUCUUCAGUAGUGGCUAAUAUUACUUUAGAACCCAUUUGGUAUAUGGUAGUUUCUAUCCACUGAUCACUCCCAAUUUAAUUAACUUUUGGUUUUCUUAUGUCGACGCUAGGAUUUUGGUAUGAAAGCAUAGUUAGUUCAUAUAUUCAUGCGGAAUGGAGAAAAAGAUAUUUUGGAUUAAAUAAUUCCAACGCAGAAGCGUCAGAAUUUUUCCUACAUUAUAUACAUCUUUUUAAACCCCACAUCUCUUCUUCGAAACUUAAGAUUCCAAGGAAGAGGAUCUAUGUUGCAGAGACUUAUGUUGGUUUCAAAUGUAUUGGCGUGAAUUGGAAGCAAAAAAGAACUUAUGUUGGUCUCAAAUGUAUUGGCGUGACUUGUGAGUAACCAUGCAAUGAACUCGAGAGGGUGUUCCAUUUAAAGGCGUGUUUGGUUUAGUUUAUGAUGCAAGGGUUCUACUUUGCCCAAUCAUGCAAGGGUUUCCUUUAAAACCAAAAAAAAAUUCCAAGAAAAAGGAUUAUUGGUCUCAGUUCCUCCAUCGACUUAGACAAAGUAAGUGUUACUCUAAUGAUUUACAUAAUUUCUUAGAGAUGUAUCUAUAUACGUUAAGGUCCAGAUAUUUUCUUUACACAAUUACACCAUUGUCUUUUGGUUAUUCUACAUGUAGAAUAUGUGCUAAUAGACAUGUGAAUUAUCAGCAAGCUGAUAUCCUAAAAUUUCCAGACUUCUCGCCAAACUGUUAAUAUCCCAUGUAUCAUUGAGAACAAUAUUCCCUUAGAUACCAUAUCAAGUGAAGAAAACUUGAGGACAACGGAUGUCGAUUGUGAGAUUGUUUUCACAAUAGGAAAAACAGAGCAAUCAUGGAGUCCAUGAACUCAAACAAGCCCACUGCAGAAAAGAAAAACAAAUGCGCCCGUCUCGACAACUAAAAACACCCUAUUUGUGUCCAGGUUUUCAUGGGUGUUCCUUUCGUUGUGUUUUCAUGUUUCCAACCAAUUGAUUGAUAUUCCUAAAUUCCACAACUACCCACCAAUUGAUUGAUAUUCAUGGUUAGGGAAUUGACUUUGCACUCACACAAGGUACUGAGGUAACAUUAAAGGAAUGGGAAAGAAAAUAAAAUAUUUGAGUUUUAGUUAAGCAUCAAUAAGGCCACCUUCUAUCUUCAUUUUCUACUCACCAGUGUAAUAGUUGUUUUCUGCUAUGACUCUGAAACGUUUGUCUAACUGUGAUCCUUCUUUUAAUAUUAAGCCCUUUCUUCAUAAAAUCUUUUUUUUUGAUCUCAAAUUAUGUGUCUUUAGUCUCUGUUUUGUUUGCAGGUUUGAGUCAAAUUGUCGGAUGAACAAAAUCCACAUUUAGAUGUUAUUCGAGAUCAUGGAGGUGAUAAUAGGAAUUCUUUUGGAGAAGGACAUGAUUAACUAUACCAAAUCGAGAAGUUAUAUAAUGGAAUUCUACGAGAAAAACAACUAUAAUAACCCCAACAGAAGAUGGUUAAGUCAUGCACAUUUAUUCGAGGAUAUGGCCAACAUUACAAUGAUUUAGUAACACUUAUAAACUCAAAGUUAAUUGUCAUUUCUCUGCUUGAGUUGAAAAAGCUUUAGAAAUUGAUAAGAUUUAUCAAAACAUUGUGGAAAAUAGCUCUUUAAUAUGAUCUCAUGUCUAUCUCA